GUCUAUGGCCAUACUACCCUGAACAUACCUGAUCUCAUCUGAUCUCAGAAGGUAAGGAAGGUCAUGCUUGGUUAGUACUUGGAUGGGGGAAAAUAGCUGCUACUAUUA